rnacentral:rRNA from 1 species
AUACAGAGGGUGCGAGCGUUAAUCGGAAUUACGGGGCGUAAAGCGCGCGUAGGCGGCUUAUUAAGUCAGAUGUGAAAUCCCCGGGCUCAACCUGGGAACUGCAUCUGAUACUGGUAAGCUAGAGUUUUGGAGAGGGAAGUAGAAUUUCAGGUGUAGCGGUGAAAUGCAUAGAGAUCUGAAGGAAUACCAGUGGCGAAGGCGACUUCCUGGCCAAAAACUGACGCUGAGGUGCGAAAGCGUGGGCAGCAAACGGGAUUAGAAACCCUAGUAGUCC